UACGUAGGGACCAAGCGUUGUUCGGAAUUACUGGGCGUAAAGGGCGCGUAGGCGGCCUGCUAAGUCGAACGUGAAAUCCCUGGGCUCAACCCAGGAACUGCGUCCGAUACUGGUUGGCUUGAAUCCGGGAGAGGGAUGCGGAAUUCCAGGUGUAGCGGUGAAAUGCGUAGAUAUCUGGAGGAACACCGGUGGCGAAGGCGGCAUCCUGGACCGGCAUUGACGCUGAGGCGCGAAAGCCAGGGGAGCAAACGGG
rnacentral:rRNA from 1 species